CAAUGAUGUGGUGCUGCACUGCUGCUCUCUUACUGCUAGCUUGCUACUUCUAGCUAAAUUUUGCUAUUUCUGCUAGCUGAAUUUUGCAUAGGCAUGGCGAGCUGUUUGAUUUCGUGGCAGGCCUGCUUAUCCUCAAUGUGUUCUGACUCGGAGGUUGGAGCCAGUUCGCAACUUUGAAUGUUGAAGCUGACAACGGACUCAAGCACUCCACCAUAUUCUUAGUAUUGCAUACCGUCACCGCUAAGGACUUAGCCAAGCUGCUUUUAAAAGUCAUAUAACAACUAAGUGCUAGAUAUUGUCAUAGAUAGAUUUUGGUGGAUAGGAAUUUAAUAAGCUACAAAGUAGUGUAGGUCGAGAUGAACAAAGAAUGGUAUGCAAAAUGUGUAACAUUAUUUGAUACAUUUACAUUGACAGGUC